rnacentral:misc_RNA from 1 species
GAGCCUUUGAAGGCUCAUGAGAUGUCUGACGGUCGAGUUCAGUUCAGAAAGGUUUCAGUUCCACCACACAGGUAUUCGCCACUCAAGAAGGCAUGGAUGGAAAUCUACACUCCAAUAUAUGAGCAGAUGAAGAUUGAUAUCCGUAUGAAUCUCAAAGCUAGAAAGAUUGAAUUAAAAACCCGACCAGAUACACCCGACAUCAGCAACCUACAGAAGUGUGCAGAUUUUGCACAUGCUUUCAU